rnacentral:ncRNA from 1 species
AACCUGGUCCGGGCUCUUCUGACGAGUAUUCUCCGGCAUGCUCUCGAUGUCGGACCACGUUC